GCCUAAUAAGUUGUAUGCAUGAUAUUAUAGAGCUCAACACUUAUAAGCAAACCACUAGGCUCUCGCUUUCUAGGUUUGUCUAUUGACAAGUGUCGAUCGAUGAUUUUAUAGAAAUAUCGAUCGACGCUUUUGGUCAAGCGGUAAUGUGCGGGUUGAAUGUGCUCACUAAGCUUCUUAGAUCAGCUCUCGCAUUACUCUAGCAAUCUUAGCUCAAUUAGGAUGGAUUCAGGGUGAGAUGCAAGCUAUCGCUUAUGCCUACAACUCCUAUGGAAAGUUCUAGGUAGCUAAUUGAUAUAUGGUGUUUUGACAUCUUGUAUAUAUGCUUUUCAAUUGGUUUUCAAGUCUUUAUCGAGUCUUCCUAGUCUUUUUCGAAUCAUUACAGGUCUGGAGUGGCAUUGGAUGGGAGAUAGACCAGUUGGAGGAAAAGAGGAGAGAAACAGUGCAAUUUGGUGAUUUUCACGCAGAACAGUUGUCAGACUGUUCCUGGUCGAGCGGAGCAACCCGAGUGUCUAUUCCAACGGCAUAGAUUUUUAAGGAAACUUCUAAUAUUUCUGGAUUUUCCCUAAUCAUCCCAAUUUUCUCUCAUGCAGCUGCCAGAGACUUGCAAUAUAUCUUUUCUUAUUUUCUAUAAUUAUUGUAUGCUAGUUUUUACACAAGAAACCAAUGGAGACUUUUGUACUUGAAAAUUUUCUACCUUGAAAGGGAAAAGGCUUCAUGUCUCUCACCUUGAGAAGAUUCAUGAACCCUAUCUUAUUUAUUUAUUGAUUCAGCAUGUUUUUUUCAUCUAUUGUCUCUGUGAUUUCUCUGUUUGUGGCUGAGUAGUCGCUUGUUAGGUUUAGGGUGUUAAGGAUCAUGGAUCAAUGAGCUAGACACAAAUAGGAUUGUUAUUCUUUGAUAUCUCUAUCUAUUGUUAUGCUUACUGCUUAUGUUAAAUUGGCCAUGUAGCAUCUGAUUUUGGAUUUAAUCUAGUCAUCAAAAGUGGUUUAGGUUGCUAGAAAAAGCAUAGAUAUGUGAUUUGUCCUUAGCCAACGAAAGAUGAUGCUAAGGCAAAUCGUGAACCAAUUGAAUCUGAACUUAAUGCUUGUCAUCAUUCUCUGAUCCAAAUGACAGUUUAGGCAUUAGGAUUGCUUGAUAAAUUGGUAGACACCACGACAGUGGGUUUAUCUAUUCUUAUUGUUCAAGUUCUAGAUUGGAUCUUAUUGCCUUCCUGAAUAAUUGUGUAGCUCAUGUCCUAAGUAUUCCAAUGAAUCACCCUGAACCUAGCUCUUUUAAUCAUCUGAAAACCUUAAAAUCAAUUUAUUACUUGCUUCUUACAGUACCUUAAUCUCAAAACCCUCAUAUUGUUUUAGCUUAAUAUUGAUCCCAUAGAAAUAAAGUGUAACUGGUCAUCUGGAAUUGAAUCUCAAAUAUUACAAUACUGUUUGCUUGCAGUAUAAAAAACACAGUUUUAGUGUAUCAAGUUUUGGUGACGUUGCGACGGGGACCAGCUCUUUACCUUUAUUUUUCGGGUACAUAUUUAGUCUAAGAUCUCUAACUUGCCUUAUCAUUUUUGUUGCAGCUAAUGUUCCAUAUGCAUGACCAGUAGACAUACUCGGAGAAACGCACAAGGAGAGUUAGUUACAUUUAGCAACCAUGAGCUUGCAAGGUUAGAAAGAACAAACCGUCAACAACCAGGGCCGAACAACGCCACAAUGGGCGACUACGGCAAUCAAGAGCAACUCACUGCUCAGUUGCAACAGAUGCAACAACAGAUGUUUCAGAUGCAGCAGACAAUCCAAGCUCAGCAGGAUGCUGCUUAACAGGCUGCUCUCGCGAUUAGGGAGAGAAACCUUCCGCGUAACGUCCCUACUACAUGCUCUGCCAUUGUUCCUCCGGACUGCACCAGGCUGGACUUUGAGAUCAAGCCUGCUUUGAUCGGCCUAGUGCAGAGAAAGGUGUUCUCUGGUCUCUCUACUGAAAUUCCAAUGAAGCAUAUUGAGAGCUUCGAAAAAGUCUGCAGUUUCACUCGCACGAAUGGUGUCCCACCAGACUACAUCAAGUGCAUGCUAUUCUCAUUCUCUCUUGAUGGAAAAGUUGCAAGGUGGUUGAACUCCUUCCCUACAGUCUCUCUCACUUCAUGGGAGUUGGUCCGAUCAGCGUUCCUCAGCCAUUUCUACUCUAAGGCGAGAACAACUGCAUUGAGGAACAAGAUCACCUCGUUCAGACAGUUCACUGAUGAGCCUUUCUGCGACGCAUGGGAGCGCUUCAAUGACUACCGCAUAGAAGCCCUCACCAUGGAUUUGAUGAUGAUUACCUCCUGGACAUUUUCUAUGAUGGAGUGGACUGGAAAUACCAAGGUGCUCUAAACUCUUCGAGCAAUGGAGACUUCAUGACUCAGACCACUGAUGGAGCGUUUAAGCUGAUUGAGAACAUGGCUGCUAGCUCAGCUAAUAAGAAAGAGGAGAGUGAUUGCUCCAAGAAAGGGAACAGUUCCGCCACCCAGAAGAUAGAUGAGCUGACUGCCAAGGCUGAUCAGCUACUGAAAAAUAACCAAGGGCACGUCUUCAGCAUGGAGCAAGCUACGGCCGGGCAGAUUCUGAACCAGAACCAGCGACAACCGCAGAAAACAAUCGGCAAGUUGUUCCAGCUACUGGGAAUAGUCAACCAGAUGAGCUGAAGGGUCUGGGUAUGAUGAUGCAACAACUGUUGCAGGGUCAGCAGGUUCAGGCCAAGGCGUUGAAUCAGGUAACCAUGGAAAUCGACACCAGGAUGGGCAACAUGUUCACUGAGCUUAAUACAAAGUAUGAUACUUGUUGGGGUCGAAAACGGUUACGACGAAGUUAAUGUCCAAAUCUCCGCAAAAAAUCAGCGUGAGCAUUUUUUACAAAAGUUAUUCUUCGUAAAAGAUAUCUUUACAAAGAGCCUUGCGGUAAAAUCUUGUUCUAAUCUCGAUCGAACGAAAUACCGAUUGUCUCAAGGCAACAGACACGUAUCCAAACCGGCCACUGACUAGUUCGAGUAUGGCAAUCGAACCUCGUACAAGCCAAGCUCGGUCGCUACGUAGCGACCAAGCGCGUACACGGCUCGGUCACUACGUAGCGACCGAGUUUGAGCCAAAGCUCGGUCGCUACGUAGCGACCGACCUCGAGCCAAGCUCGGUCGCUACGUAGCGACCGAGCUUGAGCCAAAGUUCGGUCGCUACAUAGCGACCGAGCACAUACAUGGCCCGGUCGCUGCGUAGCGACCAAACAUUCCCAAAACAUCGACACGACACGAAUCCAUGCAUUCUUGUCUACUCUUUAAUGCUAGCUCCCGUGAGCCAUGUCUGAACCAUUCUUUGUUUCUCAUAACUCGAAGACAUCAGUUAAACUAUACGAUAAAAACCGCAGGAAGUUUGUUUUUAUCGAAGAAACCGUAAUAAACGUUUCGAGUCGAAGGCGGCCCAAAGAGACCUAAAACGCAACUCGAAGCCCACUUACAAUUUCUUAACCAAAAACCCAUAAGCCGUAUGACGGUUUAUGCUUGGUUCGUAAGGCAAGAUAUAUGUCAAGUUUCCGCGGAUAAAUGUGAAGUUUCCGAAGAUAAUCACGAAGAUCGGGAAAAUUGGAAUAUCUCCAUUUUUUAGCUAUGACGGUUUAGGGGCAGAAGGGGAAAGGCGCAAACCGACCUAGGAGCAAGUAUAUAUGGAGUCCUAGGCGAGAGGCAAAAGGGGAUUCGCAAGACACACAUCAAAACUUAGCACUUAGAGCAACUUAGGCAAUUUUUCCGUUUUUGUUAUUCGAGCUGCGACUCAAUUAGGUUUAGCAGCUUUAGGGUUUUAGAACUAGGAAUAUCGCCGACAGCUCUCGUAGCCCAGGCUCUUACCUUGUUGUAACGCUCAAACGUGAAUUCGGAAUAAGAUCUACUUUGCUCUCUUUUUUCGAUUUCUUAUAUUUUAUCGUUUUUAUUUCGUGUUCUGAUUGUUUGGCAUGUGGUUUUAGCAGAUAUUCGGGACCUCUGGGAAACUAGGGUUCCCCUACUUUCCUUAUUUAAACGGAAAUCGACAGUGCGAAUUUCGGUUCCCACAAUACUGUGAGCAACCACAUAAAGAGGAUUGAUGUUAAGCUUCCUCAAACAGCUGAGAGUGUUAAGAGGCAGCAAGGGAUGCUCCCUAGAAAAAUUGAUAAUCCUAGGAUUGUGCACUGUAAUGCAACAGAGCUGAGAUGUGAGAAAGCUGAAAGAAAAGAACCGGAGCAACCGACUGUUGAGACUGCUCCAGGCGCAGAAGAGAGAACAGAGCACCCUGCUAGCUCUGAUGUGACUGCUCCCAGCGAACUUGCUGAGACCCCACCAGUGCGAGUCUAUGUUCCUAAGGUUCCCUAUCCGAUUCCACCUGGACAUUUGAUGGAUCCCAUUAGUGCAGAGCAGCUGGCUGGGUUUAGGAAGAUGGUGAGAAGGCCUUCUCAAAAGAUCUCAUUUAAACAUGCUUGGGAGAUUUGAACAUUGCAUAUGUUCUUCAAAAAUUGCAGAGAAUCUCAGGAGGAUAUCAAGGCACUCUUUACUGAAGCACUGACACCAUCGCUGAAGGUACUGCCUAAGUUUGAUGACCCUGGAAAGUUUGUUUUUCCUUGUUCCAUUGCUGGAGUGGAAUUCAAGGAAGUUCUUUGGGAUUCUGGGUCUAGUGUGAAUCUUGUCUCAAAAGCGAUUGUAGACGAGCUGGGCAUCGUUGAUGUUGAGCCUUCUUAGGUGAAGCUGGCUUUUGCAAACUCUUCCAUGGCAGUCCCUUAUGGAACCAUUCGCAAUCUUCCUGUCCAGGUUGGGGACUGUGUGCUCCAUACCGAAUUUCAAGUUGUUGAGAUGAGGAAGGAUCAUGAGAUGCCUUUUAUCUUUGGAAGGUCAUUUAUGGCUACAGUUGGAGCAAUCAUCGACCUCCCUAAUAAGAGAAUUUCAUUCUCCAACAUCAACAAGAAGGUUUUCUACAAGGUUGUCCCCACCAGAUUUCUCACACUACACGCCUCUUGCAUCUCAGUGAUCAGUGUAGAACAGCCAACAAUUGUUCCUAAGAAGGAGUUUGGAGAUAAGGCUGAGAUCAAAGAAGUCCUGGAUGGAGAUCUUCGCACUGAUACAAAGAAACUCAGUGGGAAUGCAAAGGUGAAUGAAAUAGUCGAGAAGAAAAGGGUCAAGGGUGAUCCUACAAUGACUUUGAUACCUCGCUUGUGUGAUGAAAAAUCCAUUGAAUAUAAGGUAAAGUGCAAGGGUACCUCUAAACCUUUCUCUAAAGUCAAAGCAAUUCUCACACAUGAGCUGAAAGAGAAAUGAGAAGCUGUUGUGAAGGGGUUACUGAGCAGAGUUCUGAAGCUUAACAUGUCUGAUUGUGGAGCUUGUUUUGGAACAAGCCAUCAUGAUCAACCCGACUGAUCCCUAUCACCAAGUCAAGCUAGUGACUUAAACCAAGUGCUUGGUGGGAGGCAACCCACUGGUAAGUGUAAAUAUAAGUUGGUUUACUUUUGUUUACUUAUUUUUUGUUUUAGUUUAUUGAGUCUCAGGUCAAAAAGCAAAAAAAUCCGAGAUACUUCAAAAAUUCUAGGUUGCAGCAACGGAACAACCUGCCCCCUGAAAAGGGCGGCUGUUCCAGGCGACCAUCUGCCGAUUGAACACCCAAAAUUUUCAUGGAGUGCCCGCUCCACUCAGGUAAGUAUCUCAACCAAAAAAAGUUUAUUCUUGUUUUCACCUUUUUCUGAUUUAUUUUCACACCAGGGACGGUGUGAAGUAAGUCUUGGGGAGGGUUUUCGUCAUUUACUAACUCGUGCAUAUGUUCUUCAAAAAUUGCAAAGAAUCUCAAGAGAAUAUCAAGGCACUCUUUACUGAAGCACUGACAUCAUCGCUGAAGGUAAUGCCUAAGUUUGAUGACCCUGGAAAGUUUGUUUUUCCUUGUUCCAUUGCUGGAGUGGAAUUCAAGGAAGUUCUUUGUGAUUCUGGGUCUAGUGUGAAUCUUGUCUCAAAAGCGAUUGUAGACGAGCUGGGCAUCGUUGAUGUUGAGCCUUCUUAGGUGAAGCUGGCUUUUGCAAACUCUUCCAUGGCAAUCCCUUAUGGAACCAUUCGCAAUCUUCCUGUCCAGGUUGGGGACUGUGUGCUCCAUACCGAAUUUCAAGUUGUUGAGAUGAGGAAGGAUCAUGAGAUGCCUUUUAUAUUUGGAAGGUCAUUUAUGGCUACAGUUGGAGCAAUCAUCGACCUGCCUAAUAAGAGAAUUUCAUUCUCCAACAUCAACAAGAAGGUUUUCUACAAGGUUGUCCCCACCAGAUUUCCCACACUACACGCCUCUUGCAUCUCAGUGAUCAGUGUAGAACAACCGAAAAUUGUUCCUAAGAAGGAGUUUGGAGAUAUGGCUGAGAUCAAAGAAGUCCUGGAUGGAGAUCUUCGCACUGAUACAAAGAAACUCAGUGAGAAUGCAAAGGUGAAUGAAAAAGUCAAGAAGAAAAGGGUCAAGGGUGAUCCUACAAUGACUUUGAUACCUCGCUUGUGUGAUGAGAAAUCCAUUGAAUAUAAGGUAAAGUGCAAGGGUACCUCUAAACCUUUGUCUAAAGUUAGAGUAAUUCUCACACAUGAGCUGAAAGAGAAAGGAGAAGCUGUUGUGAAGAGGUUGCUGAGCAGAGUUCUGAAGCUGAACAUGUCUGAUUGUGGAGCUUGUUUUGGAACAAGCCAUCAUGAUCAACCCGACUGAUCCCUGUCACCAAGUCAAGCUAGUGACUUAAACCAAGUGCUUGGUGGGAGGCAACCCACUGGUAAGUGUAAAUAUAAGUUGGUUUACUUUUGUUUACUCAUUUUUUGUUUUAGUUUAUUGAAUCUCAGGUCAAAAAGAAAAAAAAUCCGAGAUACUUCAAAAAUUCUAGGUUGCAGCAACGGAACAACCUGCCCCUUGAAAAGGGCAGCUGUUCCAGGCGACCAUCUGCGGACUGAACACCCAGAAUUUUCAUGGAGUGUCCGCUCCACUCAGGUAAGUAUCUCAACCAAAAAAAUUUUAUUCUUGUUUUCACCUUUUUCUGAUUUAAUUUCACACCAGGGACGGUGUGAAGUAAGUCUUGGGGAGGGUUUUUGUCGUUUACUAACUCGUUUCUCUCUUUUGUUUUUCUUUUGAGUCAGUUUGAGUCAGAUUUUACAAUCGAGUCAGUCAAAAUUUGUGGGAAUUAGGACCUUAUUCCGUGUUCAUCACUGACCACCACGUACUUUAGUUAUCUUAUUCAGUGACCUUAGCAGUGGCGAAAGACACACAUGUGGACCUGGAACACCCUGACAUUAUCUCAUUUGGUUCUCCAGAAGAUUUUGGUUUGUCGAGGUUACACUGGAAAGACUUAGCUUCAUUUAACUUGAACCUAAUCUUUACUGCAAUUCUUUUUAUUAUGGGCAUUAGAUAAGGGAAACGAGAAUACACUCAGGACUACUUAUCAUUUUUAUCCAUCUUGCUGAUCCUUAGUGGCUAGCUCAUUUUUAGCUAGUUCCCACCAUGCACCUUAGCCUUUAUUCCACCUUCAUGCAAUUGUUUUUCAGUGUCAUAUGUGCAGACAUGUGCAAAAAGGUCGGAGAGGAAAGGAUCAACGCAGCCUCUUAUUCGUUAUUGCAGCAGAAAUUCAGUCAGAAAGGAGAACAAGAAGAUUAAGGGAGCAACCGCUCCAUAACCAAUGAAUUGCGCAAGAGCAGGGGUGGAGAACUAGAAUGGUUGCGAAAUCAGAACCAACAGUGGCACUCAGAACCAUCAUUUAUUACCUCCUUCUUCGUCACCUCACUAUUUCUAUUUCAUGUUUCAAAAAAAAAAAAAAGAGAAUAAAAAAAAACGAGAAUAAGGUGAUGGAGAAGGGGAAGAAAUCAAAGAAACAUGAGCCAAUGGGAAGGUCGAGCAAAAGAGUGGGAUACCAAGUUGAAAACAUGAAGAGCAUGCAGAUAAUCUUAGCAGCCGGACGGUUGAUCCAGAUAGAGCAGAACAGUCAUUCCAGAGGUAGCAAAAAUGAGUAGAGGCUGUGGACAUCAAUGGAUCUAUUCUCUCUUGCCAUUUUGUGCGAUAUCCUUCAUCCUUUACAAUGAAAUGGUAGCCUCUAAACACUCUUAACUCCACCAUUAAAUAGCUUGUUCCACACCUAAACCGUCUACCCUGAAUAGUGCAUGUGAUGAGAAACUCACGCUACUCUUAAAUGAAUGUAGGGAGUUCUGUCUCGAUAGUGUUACUUUUUCAGGUUUGAGAUAUAGAGUAUGGAGCCAAUCUUGAACAGCAGCCAGUGGGGUUUUGGUAAGGGUGUGUUGUCCUAGUUUUACUGCUUAUAUGGUUCAGAGAUUCGUGGUUAAAGUAUGGUUGCUGAGAAUAGGAGAGUUCCCACACUUUCAAACCUUUCUCCCUGUUCUUGAUACUUGACAUUGUUUGAGGACAAACAAGGAUCUAAGUCUGGGAGAAUUGAUAUAUGGUGUUUUAGACAUCUUGUAUAAAUGCUUUUCAAUUGGUUUUCAAGUCUUUAUCGAGUCUUCCUAUUCCUUUUCGAGUCAUUACGGUCUGGAGUUGCAUUGUAUAGGAGAUAGACCAGUUGGAGGAAAAGAGGAGAGAAACAGUGUAAUUUGGUGAUAUUCACGCAGAAUAGUCUAACGAUUGUUCUUGGUCGAGCGGAGCAACCCGAGUGCCUGUUCCAGCGGCAGAGAUUUUUAAGGAAACUUCUAAUAUUUUGAGAUUUACCCUAAUCAUCCCAAUUUUCUCUCUUGCAGCCUCCAGAGACCUGAAAUAUAUCUUUUCUUAUUUUAUUAUUAUUAUUGUACGCUAGUUUUUACACAAGAAACCAUUGGAGAUUUUUGUACUUGAAAAUUUGCUACCUUGAAAGGGAAAAGGCUUCAUCUCUCUCACCUUGAGAAGAUUCUUGAACCCUAUCUUAUUUAUUUAUUGAUUCAGCAUGUUUUCUUCAUCUAUUGUCUCUGUGAUUUCUCUGUUCAUGGCUGAGUAGUCGCUUGUUAUGUUUAGGGUGUUAGGGGUGAUGGAUCAAUGAGCUAGACACAAAUAGGAUUGUUAUUCUUUGAUAUCUCUAUCUAUUGUUAUGCUUACUGCUUAUGUUAAAUUGGCCAUGUACAUUCUGAUUAUAGGUUUAAUCUAAUCAUCAAAAGUGUUUUAGGUUGCUAGAAAAAGCAUAGAUAGGCUAUUUGUCCUUAGCCAACGAAAGCUGAUGCUAAGGCAAAUCGUGAACCAAUUGAAUCUGAACUUAAUGCUUGUCAUCAUUCUCUGAUCCAAACGACAGUUUAGGCAUUAGGAUUGCUUGAUAAAUUGGUAGACACCACGACAGUGGGUUUAUCUAUUCUUGUUGUUCAAGUUCUAGAUUGGCUCUUAUUGCCUUCCUGAAUAGUUGUGUAGCUCAUGUCCUAAGUAUCCCAGUGAAUCACCCUGAACCUAGCUCUUUAAAUCAUCUGAAAACCUUAAAAACAAGUUAUUACUUGCUUGUUAUGAUACCUUAAUCUCAAAACCCCCAUAUUGUUUUAGCUUAAUAUUGAUCUCAUAGAAAUAAAGUGUAAACUAGUACUCUGGAAUUGAAUCUCAAAUAUUACAACAACACUGUUUGUUUGCAGUAUAAAAGACACAGUUUUAGUGUAUCAAUAAUCUAGAAUCAUCAAUUAAUCACAAUCACAAUCUAUAGUUGGGGGGGGGGGGGGGCUAAGGCUAAUCCCUCAUAACCUAUUUAAACCCUAAAUCUAACAAAGAGAACUACUCAGACAUGGCUAAUCAAUUCAUAACAGCAAUUAGGUAUAAAAACUGUAUAGAUAAACAUAUAGAUAUCAAUGGAGUUCCAAUCACAAAUCUCUUUGGAUUUUCUCUCCAAUCUACUAAAAAUCAUAGAAAACCUUUAGCUGUUGAAAAUAAUAAAAAAAGAAAGCACACUUUUCCUAUAACAUGUUGGCAAAGCUUAUAUAAUUAGGUUAAAACUCGUCAGGGGUAAUCUUGUAAAUUGGUGAACACUUGGGCACUAAGUCAGCUGAGCCCAAACCGGCUUUCUGCGCGCUUCACUGUCGAUCAAUGUAACGAUUUAAGAUCGAUCGAUUAUUCCUCUUCAAUAUCGACCGAUGAUCGUGUUCGAUGGUCAUCUCGGGUGCUUACUCCAAAUCUUCAAAAUGCUCCAAAAUCAUCACUUUCCUCCAAAUCACUCAUGAUCCUAUAAAUAUACUAAAUAGACUAUAUAUGGAUUUAUCAACUCCCCCAGACUUACUCUUUUGCUUGUCGUCAAGCAAAACAUACAGGCAGUCUCUCGGAAAGAGGUUUGAAAACAGCAGGGACUCACAUAUUUUAAAAAUUAGAAUCAGCACCUUAGAAAUUCCUAAUCUCAAAAUCACACUAUAUCAUAUCCUAGUCUAGCAACCAAGUUCAUCUAGUCAACAACUUAGCAAAUCAUGUCUGACAAUCCCCUCUACCAACCUCAAUUCUUACAUAAAAUAAAAGUGUAGACUUUACCUUGGGGGUAUCGAUCACAGAAUGCAAGGAUACUCAAACAAGUAUCUGGACCUGCAGGUAAACAAUAGUUCAUAUUCUCUCUCUACUAAUUUCUUCCCUAGUCAAAUUCUGCUUUAUUGCAAGAUCAUUGACCAAGGUUGGAUAGGCUUCCAUGAAUCAAGCUUUAAUGGUUUUAGCCACCAUAUCAUGUUCACUUCUUUUUGACAUAUAUCCUUGGAUUAUUUGUGAAUCAAGCCUUAAUGGUUGUAGCCACCAAGUCAUGUUCUAAUCCUUUACCUAUAGAAUUCUUAUGAAGCAAGCCUCAAUGGUUGUAGCCACCAAGUCCUGUUGGAAUUCCUUCCUAAUUUUUUUCUACUUCUAACUAUAUUAUAUAUAUAUAUAUAUAUGUAUUAUUAUUAUUAUGAAGAAUUUGAUCCCAUAUAUACCAAGCCCCAAGACAAGCAGGGUUGAGCUCAAUUAGGUUGGAGGUCAGCUUUGGUUCCUUCAAACAUUCUCAGCAAGUGUAACAUAGUUGACAGGUUGAUCCACUUUGGUAUCUUUAGUGCUAUCUGCAACUAGUAAAUCUAGAAUAGUGUGGUUAGAUAAUAAGCAAAAAUCAAACAAGUUCAUUAUCCCAUUCUUGACUCAAUAAAAACUCUUUUUGAAAAUAUUUUAAUAAGAGUCAUGAAUAAACUAAUAUCAGUAAACAUCCCCCCAGACUUAAACUACAUUGUCCCUAGUGUAAAUUCAGUCGAAGUUAUGUGAAUAACUAAAGCAUAAAGACUCAAUGUAACAAGUAAGAACGAUAUAACAGACCGAAUUAGAUGUCGAUCGAUGUAAUUGUGUUGACAUCGGUCGCGGUAGGUGAUGUUCUGUCGGCAGUGUUUCGGCGGUCGAUACUCAUGGCAAUCGUCUACUCCGAUCUUUUUAUUUUGUUUUUCUUUUUAUGACCUGCAAUAAUUUUAAAAACUAACAUAAUUACUAAACUAAUAAAAACUAAUUAGAUAUUGCCUAAUAGUGGGUUGUCUCCCACUCAGCGCUUUGUUAUAGUCAUUUAGCUUGACUUUGGAGGUGAUUUGGCUAGUAAUGUGCAAAGCUGGAACUUGCUAGGAAACAAGUUUCCAUCUCUUCUCUGCGCUUGUUGAACCAUGUACCAGUGAAGUCUCGCAUUGAUUCAUCUCCUCUGCGCCAUUUGUCCUUCAUUGAUGCAGUUGUGUUCUCUAUCUUCUGUAAUUUGUCUCCAAGACUCUCAAGGUUGAACUGAUGUCUCAUAAGUGUGGCGUAUGUGUCAGCUGAGAUCUCCUCUCCAUGGUUGUGUGUAUCAGACAUAUCAGAUUUCACUUUUUGGUACUAGCCUGCCUCGGUUUGUAGCUUUGUCGACCAAUGUUCGUCUGUGACUGUCGGUCGAUUUUUUGUUUCGUCUGUCGAUCGAUGCUGAUGAUUCUGGUCGACUAGCAAUGUAAUUAUGAACCUCUACUAUCUCCCUAUGUAUUUCUUCUAUCUGAGAAUUCAAAGAACUCAUUGUAAGAUCCAUUGGGAAAUAGAUGUGAUCACAUCUCCUAUCAAGCCUCUCUUCUGCUGAUUCCAUAGUUCUGUAGAUCUCAUCUACUAACUUAUCAAUUUCUUCUCUGGUGUAGGAAUCUGGUUGAGACUUAGUCGGAUUCAAAUGUGUGAGGUUGUCGUCGACCAAUGUUGAGUGGUGUUUAUCGAUCGAUGCUGAUGUGGUUGCUUCGGCCGCACGCUGUGUCUGGAUCUUGGCUAUGUCUUUCCUCAUCUCCUCCAUGUGUGUAGUCAACCAACUGAUGCUAUCAUUCAGUGGGUAGUAGACACCAUCAAGCUUUAUCUGGAAGUCGCCUUCAUUCUUUUCUUGGGCUCCACAGACUCCAUAGAACAUCUCAUUGACCUCAUCCUUGGUGUAGAUCUCUGGUACUAGCUUGGUAUGUGUGAAUGACCUUGCAUUCUCUGGAAGACAUAGGUAGUUGUGCUCAUCCAUUGAGGCUCUUUCCAGAAGACUUCUGAAAUAUCAUCCUUGGAUACUCUGAUGAUGUGUCUGUCUACAUCUCUGGCGCGUCCCUUAUCAUCUCUGUAGACUCCAUACUCAUAUUUCUCCUCCCAAUGGAAUCUCCUAGUGCCAUCACGGUCAAAGGCUCUUUUUCCAAACUCUGGACGUCUGUCUAUGCUGUCGAUACUUCGGCUUGAAACGAUCAUCUAUGCCACCAGCUGUGUCAUAGUUCUCCUUUGUAACCCUUUGUUGAUGCGCUGGACUGUUGUGUUGUUGCAUGGAGAGAUUGUCUGCUCCUGGCUCAUGAAUUGCAGUUUCUACUGCAUAGCUUUCGUGAUGGUGAUCAUCUGCUCAACUGCCAAUCGAGUAAUCUCCUUCUUGUGCACGGUCGACUCCAGUGUCGAUCGAUGGGUAGUAUGCAAUGUCGGUCGAUGCUCGUUGUCGGCUUGUCUGAUGAAGAUGAGUGUCGAUCGAUGUUGAGACGGUUCUGUCGAUCGACGGCGCAUUCCUUUUCCAGGAGGAAUGGUGGAGAAGUCUAUCUUCCUCAUCAAGAAUGGCUUUGUACUCUAUAGCUCGUUCCUCCUCAUAAUCUUCAUCAUACUCCUCUGUAUGUAGGGUAUCUCUAGUGUGUGCCGCCAUGGUGGGAUUAUAGUAGUCGUUCUCCCAUUCGCUUGGAUUACUGUCGACCGAUUCUUCCUUUGGAUUGUCGAUCGAUUUCUUGUGGGCACUAUCGAUCGAUGUGGCGGUGUGAGUUUCGAUCGACGCAUAAUAUUCUCUCUCAUACUCAGCUCCAAAGUGGCAUGCUUCGAUGAGUCAUGGAUCAUCAAUUCUGUUAGAGGACGCAUGUGGCUUCAUGACUGGAAUAGGAUUGUAGUGGACAUGUGGAUCUAUGAGCGCCAUGCACAACUGGUUGGUUUGCAUGUUGCACACUGCUCCUACUGUUGACAAGAAUGCUCUCCCAAGCAAUAGAGAAGAGUUCCAAUUCUGCUUGAUAUCCAAGACAUGGAAAUCAACUAGAACUAGAGCAUUAUCAAUCUUCACCUCUAGGUCUCUUACAAUUCCUUAUGAGCUUCUCUAAGAAAAAUCCACAAAAGUGAACGAUUCCUUGGAAAACUCCACCUUCAGACCCAGAUGGUCUGCCAUAACCCUAGGUAGGAUGCUGACUGAUGCUCAUGUGUCACACAAUGCAUGUGGGAACUCAAUACCCUUCACCGUGCAUAGUAUUGUAAACUUUCCAGGAUCACUCUUCUUCUUCAGUGUAAUCAUAUUCUUCAUCUUUUCUCUGCCCUCACAGAACAUUCUCCUAAUGUCUUCUUCAGUUUCUUUGGUUUCUCUGAAGAACAUGCACAAUCUAUGGGUAAAAUAUACCUCCUCGAAUGGUUUCUCUACUUGAAUUCUGAAGACUCUCUUUUGGAAACUUUCCAUCUCCUUCUCAUUAGCUUCCCUUUUCAGAUGCUUAGCAACCUUUCCUUUUCUCUCCCUCAAGGUUCUCCCCAUAGGAGCCUUAUCAACUUCCAUAGGCUCUGCUGCAUCAUCUGAAUGUGUGCUGGUGGUCUUUGGAGGGUCAGCUGAAGGUUUGGAUUGUGGCAUGAGUGCAUUGAGACGGGCGAUGUCUAUCUUUGGUAUCUGCACUCGGUAUGUAAUAGGUGUGCGUCGAUCGAUGGGCGUUGGAGGUUUUCGAUCGAUGGUGGUCUCUCUCUGUCGAUCGAUGGCAGGACCAGUUUGCCGAUCGAUUUUUACAUAAACAGGGUUGGGCGGAUGUGGGUGUCUUGCUGCGAACUCCUCAUGAGUAAUAAUCCUCACGGCAUUGUAAGAUGUGUCGACUCUGUAGGUGUCGUCGAUUGAUGCUCUGGAGAGCCCAUCGAUUGGUUUUGAUUUAAGUUCGUCAAUCGAUGUUCGAAGUCUGGCGCCGAUCGACACCAAUGCGAUCUGUCGAAGCUCAUCGAGCUUUCUACUUCGAAAUCUCCUUCUUGCCCUGCUUCACCACUUGCCAGAAAUCAUCAUCUAUGAUGGCAUUCACGUGGUGCUUCAUCACAACAUCUCCUACCCCUCUUGUUAAGGCCUCUUGCCUCUUAACAGCUUCUCUUGUCUGAACAACAUACAUCUCCAGCUUCUUCACAUGAAUGCUCAAAGUCUCAAACUUUGUGUUCAGGUUGGUGUAGACAGAGUCAUUCUUCCCAUUGAAGUCCACCAUCAUGCUCUGCUGUCCCUCAAGAAACUUAUCGAGUAUCGCUUCAAUCUUUCUCUCCUGAGUAAGUGGUGGUGGCUUCUGGUAGAAUGAGUUUCCAUAACUCUUGUUGUUGCUUAGGGUUUCUGGUGCUGCGAACUCUGGUUAAAAUUACUCCUCUGUCCAUAGAAGUUUCCUUUCUGGUUUCCAGACCUCUGAAAUCCAGUUCCACUAAUGAAGUUCAGAUCUUCUUCUACCUCUGCUUUACCCUAUGUGUCUACAGCUUCUGCAUCCUCUACUAAGCAAGCCUGCUUCCUGAGAAGCUUGUGAACACUGUUGAUAGGCCAUGGAUUUUACCCACUUUUAGCCAUGGUUUAUAAGUGUUUUAAUAACUAAUUACUGCUAUAUAGAGUCUAUUUAGAGUAUUUAUAGGUUUAGGGACGAUUUGGAGGAAAGUGGUGAUUUUGGUGUCUUUUGGAGCCUUUUGAGUGUAGAGCUGCACAUACGCGUCAGAUAUUUAGCUAUGGAUGGAGACCUUACCACCAUUAGAUUGAGCCCAUCUUUUGACACAAGAUAUAGCUUUUAUUUAUUUUUCCAAUGCCGCUGGUUUGAGGUCAAUCAGCAUCAUGUAGCAGAAGUUAUGCCCGUUUUACUGAAAAGUGGUCAGUCUGCCUCGCGAGAGAAAGCUGUCGAGGAGAUGCAGGACUGACUGUCGAUCGAUGAAACAGCAUUGGUGUUGAUCGACUGUGAUCCCAGAAUAUGGGCUGGGCAUAUUUUAUGACCAACUGAAGCCCAGAAGCAACCACAAACUACCAGAAUACCUUUGGAUGACCAAAAACCAUAUUUAUGUGUUUUCUAAGCUAUUGUUGACGGCUAAGCUUCCUUUUAUUCUUGUUCUAGGUUAGGAGAGAAAGGAGGAACUCCUUCAGAGUCCUCCUUGUACUCCUUUGGUUUAAUCAUUGCUUUUAUCUAUUCUAUUCAUCUAUUCUUUCUAUGAUUUUCUUUGACAACUUCAUGUUUGAAUAGAUCCACCUGUUAGGUUUAGGGUUCAGAUAGGUUAUGAGAGAUUAUCCCCAACUACAGAUUGCUAAGUUGUGAUAUUCAUCAUUAGGAUUGUCAUUAAUGCAUGUCUCUAGAUUAGCUACCUAGAACUUUUCCUAGGAGUUGUAGACAUAAGCGAUAGCUUGCAUCUUACCCUGAAUCCAUCCUAAUUGAGCUAAGAUUGCUAGAGUAAGGCGAGAGCUGAUCUAGGAAGCUUAGUGAGCACAGUCAACCCGGGCGUUAAAGCUUGACCAAACGCGUCGAUCGAUAUUCAAAUCGAAUAAUCGGUCGACGUUUCAACAAGUGUAUCGAUCGAUAUUCCUAUAGAAUCAUCGAUCGACACUGGUCAAUAAACAAACCUAGAAAGCAAGAGCCUAAUAGUUUGUUUAUAAGUGUUGAGUUCUAUAAUAUCAUGCAUACAACUUGUUAGGCAUCUGUAGGAUUAUAAUCCUGAUUUCCUGAAUAGAAAUCCUAAGUCUAGCAAACCAUUCUUCCACCAAAACCCCAAUCAAAUCAAUCGAGCAAUUGUCUUGCUCACAAACUUGCAACUUUACAUUUAAUCAUUAAAUCAACCUAGCUUAAUCAAUCUGAUUAGAUUUAUUUGGUUUUCUAGCUCCCUGUGAAUUCGAUCCCUAAGUACUACAACUCCACCUC
rnacentral:lncRNA from 1 species